CCCUUAGAUGUUCUGGGCCGCACGCGUGCUACACUGAGUGGAUCAGCGGGUCAGGUUGCGCGAAAGUGUUUCCUAAUCUUUAAAUCCGCUCGUGAUGGGGAUUGACGGUUGCAAUUUUCCGUCAUGAACGAGGAAUACCUUGUAAGCGCGGGUCAUCAUCCCGCGCUGAAUACGUCCCUGCCCUUUGUACACACCGCCCGUCGCUCCUACCGAUUGAGUGGUCCGGUGAGGCUUUGGGAUCUGAGCGGAAAGAGCGUUUCGCUGUUUCUGCCCGGAAAACUCAGUCGAACCUUAUCAUUUAGAGGAAGGAGAAGUCGUACA
rnacentral:rRNA from 1 species